AUUGAACGCUGGCGGUAUGCUUAACACAUGCAAGUCGAACGAUGAGAAAGAGCUUGCUCUUUCGAUUAGUGGCGGACGGGUGCGUAACGCGUAGGAAUUUACCUAUUAGUGGGGGACAACUUAGGGAAACUUAAGCUAAUACCGCAUACGCCCUACGGGGGAAAGAAGGGGAUCGCAAGACCUUUUCCUAAUAGAUGAGCCUGCGUAGGAUGAGCGAGUUGGUGGGGUAAAAGCUCAACAAGGCGAGGAUCCUUAACUGGUUUGAGAGAAUGAUCAGUCACACUGGAACUGAGACACGGUCCAGACUCCUACGGGAGGCAGCAGUGGGGAAUAUUGGACAAUGGGCGAAAGCCUGAUCCAGCAAUACCGCGUGUGUGAAGAAGGCCUUAGGGUUGUAAAGCACUUUCAAUUGGAAGGAAAACCUCGAAGCUAAUACCUUCGAGUUUGACAUUACCUUUAGAAGAAGCACCGGCUAACUCCGUGCCAGCCGCCGCGGUAAAAC
rnacentral:rRNA from 1 species